rnacentral:misc_RNA from 1 species
UGGCCGGACUGUGGUUGCUGGG